UUUUGAAUAAUUAAUAGAUCAGUGAUACACCAAGAAGGGAAUACAGGGCAUUUAAUGAUUACCUUAAAUCGGUAAUGUUAUUUGAAUGCUUCUUAAUCCUCCAUUUUCGGAUUUUGAAGAUGUUUGUUUAUGGUGUUAUUGCAUAAAAAGCUACUCAAGAAAAGGAAAACAAUUGCUUCAAUCAAAUAUAUAUCAAAUAUAGCUUUUUUGAUCCUUAUAACUAUGAACAAAAUUACACGCAAAACCAAUCAAUGGUAAUAUUGGAAUCAAUAAGAAAUAUUCUCAGUCGUCUUGGUGAAAAGGAAUUACCUAUUGAAGAGCAAGAGAUAUGUUUAUCUAUAUAUUGCUGAAAAAGUGAAAUAUCAAGAAGAAUUUGCUGUUUAAACUUAAAUACGAUCCAAAAGGUCACACAGAAUGAUAAUUAUCACAGAAGAAAGACUUAAAAAAAGACUUGUUCGUUGUUUUGAUUGG